rnacentral:rRNA from 1 species
UACCGGCAGCUCAAGUGGUAGCCGCGAUUAUUGGGCCUAAAGCGUUCGUAGCCGGAUAAGUAAGUCUUUGGUUAAAUCCUGCAACUUAACUGUGGGAAAUCUAGAGAUACUGCUUGUCUUGAGACCGGGAGAGGUUGGAGGUACUCCCAGGGUAGGGGUGAAAUCCUGUAAUCCUGGGGGGACCACCUGUGGCGAAGGCGUCCAACUGGAACGGGUCUGACGGUGAGGGACGAAACCUAGGGGAGCGAGCCGGAUUAGAAACCCUAGUAGUCC